UGCCCAGCAACUCCUAUCCCUACCUCCUCGUGGUACUGGCCGGGGUACGAGUAACCUUGGGUUAAGAUCGGGUAACCAACCCCCGGUGGGAACUUUGGUCGUAUGCUGACAGGGAAGG
rnacentral:ribozyme from 1 species